rnacentral:snRNA from 13 species
GCUUGGAAUAUAGCUCUAAUAUAGCCCAGAGUUUCGGCUGCUGUGGCUUGAAGUAAAAUUUUGGAACGUCCUGCAUUAGCGGGACAAC